rnacentral:rRNA from 1 species
UCCUACGGGGGGCAGCAGUGAGGAAUAUUGGUCAAUGGGCGGAAGCCUGAACCAGCCAAGUCGCGUGAGGGAAUAAGGCCCUACGGGUCGUAAACCUCUUUUGCCGGGGAGCAAGGGCCGGGACGAGUCCCGGUCCGGAGAGUACCCGGAGAAAAAGCAUCGGCUAACUCCGUGCCAGCAGCCGCGGUAAUACGGAGGAUGCGAGCGUUAUCCGGAUUUAUUGGGUUUAAAGGGUGCGUAGGCGGGCCUUUAAGUCAGCGGUAAAACUUCGGGGCUCAACCCCGUCCGGCCGUUGCAACUGGGGG